UACGAAGGGGGGCUAGCGUUGUUCGGAAUCACUGGGCGUAAAGCGCACGUAGGCGGAUGUGCCAGUCAGGGGUGAAAUCCCGGAGCUCAACUCCGGAACUGCCUCUGAUACAGCACGUCUUGAGUUCGAGAGAGGUGGGUGGAAUUCCUAGUGUAGAGGUGAAAUUCGUAGAUAUUAGGAAGAACACCAGUGGCGAAGGCGGCUCACUGGCCCGGUACUGACGCUGAGGAGCGAAAGUGUGGGGAGCGAACAGG
rnacentral:rRNA from 1 species